UACGGGGGGGGCAAGCGUUGUUCGGAAUUACUGGGCGUAAAGGGCUCGUAGGCGGCCAACUAAGUCGGACGUGAAAUCCCUCGGCUUAACCGGGGAACUGCGUCUGAUACUGGAUGGCUUGAGUUUGGGAGAGGGAUGCGGAAUUCCAGGUGUAGCGGUGAAAUGCGUAGAUAUCUGGAGGAAUACCGGUGGCGAAGGCGGCCUCCUGGACCGGCAUUGACGCUGAGGAGCGAAAGCCAGGGGAGCGAACGGG
rnacentral:rRNA from 1 species